UACGUAGGGGGCAAGCGUUGUCCGGAAUCAUUGGGCGUAAAGAGCGCGUAGGCGGCCCGAUAAGUCCGCUGUGAAAGUCCAGGGCUCAACCCUGGGAUGCCGGUCGAUACUGCCGGACUAGAGUUCGGAAGAGGCGAGUGGAAUUCCCGGUGUAGCGGUGAAAUGCGCAGAUAUCGGGAGGAACACCAAUGGCGAAGGCAGCUCGCUGGGACGACACUGACGCUGAGACGCGAAAGCGUGGGGAGCAAACAGG
rnacentral:rRNA from 1 species